AGGUACUUAAGAUAGAGUUAGUCUCAGGACCUUCAAAGUCCUAAGCGGGAGUUAAAACCUCUCAGUACCUG
rnacentral:tRNA from 1 species